rnacentral:piRNA from 1 species
UGUCAAGGAUCUGGUGGUGCUGC